AACUCAGGCCCAAGUCACAGGAAUCUGAAUGGUGGGGUGACCUUCUCCUCUAGUUUAAUUUCAUUGCAAUACUGAGAAACUUCAAGUGUUUUGUCUUUAGAAGGGAAAUCCAUGUUUGUGCCAGGCCAGCCUUUGUAAAAGCCUUUGACUGGAUUCACUAGAAGUCUGUCUUCCCGCAGUACAUAUACUGUGAAUUUUCUGCUUCGGCAUUUCAACCACUUGGAAUGGCCACUAAAGUCUUGAGUUCUGGAACCUCUGGAUUUGAUCUAAAGUAAACUCUGAUUCUGUGUCGAUGGGGAACCAUUUCUCUCUAACAUGGUGGUUUCUUUAAGAUGUUUGACUUGGGCCACAUGAGAAUAACAGAUCUUUGGGCAGUCCAAGCAAGAGCCUCCUGAUCUAGCAGCCAAGACUCCCCCUGACCUUUGGCCAUGUACCCCAACCCUCUCAUCUAUUGCACCUGCUGGGACCCCUGGAACUUGGGACCACGGAAGCUAAUCAAGACCCCUCAACUACCACGCAAGAACUCCACAGGGAGUUCCAAGCUAACUCCUCUUCUACCAGCUCCAAAAAAUCACAAUUACCUCCAACCAACAAAACCUGUUGUUUCCCCAAAAAUGAAAAUCCAUUCAGCAAGGCAAGAAGAGACCAAUAAAUCAUUUUAUGUGAGUAAAGGCAGGAGAGGGCGGUGGGACUAAAAUUUAUUGAGUGCCUACCAUGUGCAAGCAUGGGCCCUUUACAUUUUUAUACUUACCUUGUUGAAUCUUCACAAAGAUCCUGGGAGGAGGUGCUGUUAUUAUUGCACAUUAUGCACGGCAGGAAGUGAUCAACGUGUCACCUGGCUAUCAACUUGUUCGGAAUCGGGAACAGAUUUCUGUCACCUUAGGGGAUGAGAUGUUUGAUAGGAAAAAGCGGUGGGAAUCGGAGAUCCCGGACAAAGGCAGAUUUUCCAGGACCAACAUCAUUUCUGACCUAGAAGAGCAAAUCUCAGAGCUGACAGCAAUAAUUGAACAAAUAAACAGAGACCACCAGUCUGCCCAGAAAUUGGGAGCUCAAAGAGGCCCAUGAAGCAGAACUCAGUGAGUUGGAGAACAACUACAAAGCAGCCUUGAAGGCAGAGAAGUUGGCUGCCCAAGAGAAGCUAGAGGAGAUGGGAAAAGAAUACAAGUAUUUGAAGAAUAUGUUUCGUACGUAUCAGGACAGUAUUUAUGAUGAAAUGGAAGAGAAGUGGUCAAAACAGAAGGCGAAAUGGAAGAAGGAUGAGAAGUUCGAGCGAGAAAAUAUCCUGCUACAGCAAAAAAAAAAGAUGACCAAAAAAUUCGAAUUGGAGUCAGGAGAAGAAGAUAAGAAAAUAAGUGAAUCCUGCAGUGCUGUCUUUGAGAACUUCAUUCAAGAGAAGGAGGAGCUCUUGAAACAACAUCAAAGUGACACCUUGCAAUUAGAAGAGCUGAGAAAAACCAAAGAGUCCAGGUGCUCUGGAGAAGAGACUAAAUAAAUAGACAUUGGCAUGAUGUCCUGCAACAGCUUCUUCUUAUGCAGGUCAUGGAGGAAGAAUUGCAUGCACAAGCCCUUAUCCUAGAGUCACUGAACACAAACCUCUACUAUACCCAGUUGGAACUCCAGAAAGAGAAAGCUAUAGUGGGAAAUCUGGAGAAAAUGCUUCAAACCAAGUUUGCUGAAGCUGAAGAAAAGUAUAAGCACACCAUACAGAUCCUGACGGAAGAGAACAUUCAUCUGAAGCAAAAGAUAAUUUCUAAGAAUGAAGAAAUUUGUGAAGGAUGUUCUGGGAGAUUGGUCUCUAUUACUGUUUCUAAGGAUGAUUCUGACACUGUGCAAGAUGGUAGCAAGAAAGGACAAGAAUCAUAAACAAAAAGUUGCUCUGCAUUGUUGAAGAUGGUUGGCACACCAUUUCUGUAGGCCCAGGAAACUCCUGGGAGGGUUUUCUUGAGAAAAUGCAUAUAAUGAGUUUAGUUCUUGGGUUGCUCUGACUCUCUGAAUGGCUGAAAAUGUUUGAAUUCUCAUCUGAAUUUCGCAGCUUAUCACGGACUCUUCAUUGAAAAAUGAUGCUCUCCACACUGGGAGCUGAGCUUUCUCUG
rnacentral:sRNA from 1 species